rnacentral:rRNA from 1 species
UGAUACUAAGCCAUGCGAGUCAUUGUAGCAAUACAAGGCAUACGGCUCAGUAACGCGUAGUCAACCUAACCUAUGGACGGGAAUAACCUCGGGAAACUGAGAAUAAUGCCCGAUAGAACAUUAUGCCUGGAAUGGUUUAUGUUCCAAAUGAUUUAUCGCCGUAGGAUGGGACUGCGGCCUAUCAGUUUGUUGGUGAGGUAAUGGCCCACCAAGACUAUUACAGGUACGGGCUCUGAGAGGAGUAGCCCGGAGAUGGGUACUGAGACACGGACCCAGGCCCUAUGGGGCGCAGCAGGCGAGAAAACUUUGCAAUGUGCGAAAGCACGACAAGGUUAAUCCGAGUGGUUUCUGCUAAAGGAACCUUUUGUCAGUCCUAGAAACACUGAUGAAUAAGGGGUGGGCAAGUUCUGGUGUCAGCCGCCGCGGUAAAACCAGCACCUCAAGUGGUCAGGAUGAUUAUUGGGCCUAAAGCAUCCGUAGCCGGCUCUGUAAGUUUUCGGUUAAAUCUGUACGCUCAACGUACAGGCUGCCGGGAAUACUGCAAAGCUAGGGAGUGGGAGAGGUAGACGGUACUCGGUAGGAAGGGGUAAAAUCCUUUGAUCUAUUGAUGACCACCUGUGGCGAAGGCGGUCUACCAGAACACGUCCGACGGUGAGGGAUGAAAGCUGGGGGAGCAAACCGGAUUAGAUACCCGGGUAGUCCCAGCUGUAAACCAUGCAAACUCAGUGAUGCAUUGGCUUGUGGCCAAUGCAGUGCUGCAGGGAAGCCGUUAAGUUUGCCGCCUGGGAAGUACGUACGCAAGUAUGAAACUUAAAGGAAUUGGCGGGGGAGCACCACAAGGGGUGAAGCCUGCG